AAAUUAAAUUCAAAUUUAAUAAAUCUUCCAAAGGAAGAAGCAAAAAAGAAGAAGAGAUUGGGAUUCGUUUUUCUAACAUUUAUUUCUCAUCUUAUUAUCAAU
rnacentral:ribozyme from 1 species